rnacentral:rRNA from 1 species
CGUUUUGACGUUUAGCUGCAGAAGAAGCACCGGCUAACUCCGUGCCAGCAGCCGCGGUAAUACGGAGGGUGCGAGCGUUAAUCGGAAUUACUGGGCGUAAAGCGCAUGCAGGUGGUUUGUUAAGUCAGAUGUGAAAGCCCGGGGCUCAACCUCGGAAUAGCAUUUGAAACUGGCAGACUAGAGUACUGUAGAGGGGGUAGAAUUUCAGGUGUAGCGGUGAAAUGCGUAGAGAUCUGAAGGAAUACCGGUGGCGAAGGCGGCCCCCUGGACAGAUACUGACACUCAGAUGCGAAAGCGUGGGGAGCAAACAGGAUUAGAUACCCUGGUAG